GCAGGCGCUGUGCAUUUUGUUCUUCAAAAGAGGAUGAAACACAUGGCGAUGCGUGUCUGUGAUAGAUGAAAGAUGAUUUUUAUAUUUUAAGGCUAUUCAAGAUAGAAAAAAAUUCGAAAAAAGCAAAAGUCAUCGCCCGUCGCAAACGAAAGUGUACUUCGGCAAUUAGAUUGCCUGCUCAAGUCUCGCAAGGAUAAGAGUAAAGUCAAAGAGUAAAGCAGCUUAGACUUUUAGCGGGGUCUUCGUUAAUUGAAAAAUGGCUUAGUAGUUUGUGAUGUAAGAAGUGAUUGGUCUAACCAAUCGUGCAUGAGUGAUACAAGUAGGAAUAUUUGUGGACAAGAUAAUAAACUAUAAGUUAUCAAAAGUCACUCGUUUAAAGCAGUAGUCUCAUGCU
rnacentral:sRNA from 1 species